UGGGGAAUAUUGGGCAAUGGGCGCAAGCCUGACCCAGCAACGCCGCGUGAAUGAUGAAGGUCUUCGGAUUGUAAAGUUCUGUGAUGGGGGACGAAGAAAGUGACGGUACCCCAAUAGCAAGCCUCGGCUAACUACGUGCCAGCAGCCGCGGUAAUACGUAGGGGGCUAGCGUUAUCCGGAUUUACUGGGCGUAAAGGGUGCGUAGGUGGUUUCUUAAGUCAGGAGUGAAAGGCUACGGCUCAACCGUAGUAAGCUCUUGAAACUGGGAAACUUGAGUGCAGGAGAGGAAAGUGGAAUUCCUAGUGUAGCGGUGAAAUGCGUAGAUAUUAGGAGGAACACCAGUAGCGAAGGCGGCUUUCUGGACUGUAACUGACACUGAGGCACGAAAGCGUGGGGAGCAAACAGGAUUAGAUACCCUGGUAGU
rnacentral:rRNA from 1 species